rnacentral:sRNA from 1 species
GCCCAAUUUCGCACGUGCCUGUGGUUGCGUGCCGACCGGUGGGACUUCGGACAAGAGGCCGAGGUGACGCCCAGGGCCGAAAGGCCUCAGGAGUUCGGGAGCGAUCCCGAAAAGGUCGGCAGCCGGAAAGCGAACCGGUGAACCCCGUCUCCGCGGGGGACGCGACUUGAAGCAACGACGUAGCGGGCCUUU